GCACAAGCGGUGGAGUAUGUGGUUUAAUUCGAUGCAACGCGAAGAACCUUACCUGGCCUUGACAUCCCGGGAAUUUCCUGGAAACAGGAGAGUGCUUUCAUUAGAGAGAACCUGGAGACAGGUGCUGCAUGGCUGUCGUCAGCUCGUGUCGUGAGAUGUUGGGUUAAGUCCCGCAACGAGCGCAACCCUUGCCUUUAGUUGCCAGCAGUUCGGCUGGGCACUCUAAAGGGACUGCCGGUGUCAAACCGGAGGAAGGUGGGGAUGACGUCAAGUCCUCAUGGCCUUUAUGGCCAGGGCUACACACGUACUACAAUGGCCGGUACAAAGGGCAGCGACAUUGCGAGAUGGAGCGAAUCCCGAAAAGCCGGUCUCAGUCCGGAUUGGAGUCUGCAACUCGACUCCAUGAAGUUGGAAUCGCUAGUAAUCGUGGAUCAGCAUGCCACGGUGAAUACGUUCCCGGGCCUU
rnacentral:rRNA from 1 species